UACGGAGGGUGCGAGCGUUGUCCGGAAUCAUUGGGCGUAAAGGGCGCGUAGGUGGCCCGGUCAGUCUUUGGUGAAAGCGCGGGGCUCAACCCUGCGUCGGCCAGGGAUACUGCCGCGGCUCGAGCACUGUAGAGGCAGGCGGAAUUCCGGGUGUAGCGGUGGAAUGACGUAGAGAUCCGGAAGAACACCGGUGGCGAAGGCGGCCUGCUGGGCAGUUUGGCUGACACUGAGGCGCGACAGCGUGGGGAGCAAACAGG
rnacentral:rRNA from 1 species